AACAAAUUGUUAGACUGAAUUUAGCUGAAGUUGGGCAAUGUCACUUCCUAAUACUCCCCACAUUUUAAUUUUCAAAUAGCAUGGUUGGUAGCAUGUAUCGGAGAGGCAUGCCCAAUAAUAUUAAUUAAGCAAAUAAAGUACAGGUUAUACACAGUUUGAAGUUUCAACAGACGUAACAUUUUUGUAGUAUCUGAAAAAAAAAAUUGAAAUUAAAUGGCUCUUGUGCAUAUUGUGGAAAACCCAUGUCAAAUUGGCAGAAUAUCAAUGUGCAUACUGUCCUUUUCAGAAAAAACCCUAUGAUAUCCAUUAUCUCUUCUGGAUUUUCUUUUUUAAUGUGUAUCUCUUCAACUUUUCAGGACAAACCUGGUGAUAUGUGUGCUGCAUUUACUGAUCAAGGCAUUGCUUCUGAAGAAGUCAACAUGCUCUAAAUGCAGAAUAGCUCGUGAACACAUGUCAUUUGAUAAAAAAAAUAUUCAGUUACUCGAUUGAAGCCAUGCAAUGCCUCAGCAAUUGCUUUCAUGUUUCAAGAGAAAGAUUUACCAUUGGGAGUGCGCCUGUGUGGGAGUCUCAUGUUGUGCAAGUUAAAUCACUUCUCCUCUCUUAAAGCAGAGUCUGGAUUGAAGCUAUGCAACGUCUUACUCAACUAGCUAGCACAAGUGGAUAACUAUGGUUCCAAGUUUUAGGGGUUACAUGUGCCUUGAGACGUGUUUGAAGUUACAGUUGCACAUGAUUAUUCCCAUCCAAGUUCUAAGUACAAGUACAGCCAAUUAUUGAAAU